rnacentral:rRNA from 1 species
GCCCUUAGAGUUUGAUCCUGGCUCAGGAUGAACGCUGGCGGCGUGCCUAAUACAUGCAAGUCGAACGAAUCUCUUCGGAGAUGAGUGGCGAACGGGUGAGUAAUACAUAGGUAACCUGCCCCUGUGCGGGGGAUAACAGGAGGAAACUCCUGCUAAUACCGCAUAGCCAUGAGCACCGCAUGGAGCUCAUGCCAAAUAUCCUUUCGGGGAUAGCGCAGGGAUGGACCUAUGGCGCAUUAGCUUGUUGGCGGGGCAACGGCCCACCAAGGCAACGAUGCGUAGCCGGCCUGAGAGGGCGGACGGCCACAUUGGGACUGAGACACGGCCCAGACUCCUACGGGAGGCAGCAGUAGGGAAUUUUCGGCAAUGGGGGAAACCCUGACCGAGCAACGCCGCGUGAGCGAAGAAGGCCUUCGGGUCGUAAAGCUCUGUUGUAAAGGAAGAACGGCGCAUACAGGAAAUGGUAUGCGAGUGACGGUACUUUACCAGAAAGCCACGGCUAACUACGUGCCAGCAGCCGCGGUAAUACGUAGGUGGCGAGCGUUAUCCGGAAUCAUUGGGCGUAAAGAGGGAGCAGGCGGCCGCAAGGGUCUGUGGUGAAAGACCGAAGCUAAACUUCGGUAAGCCAUGGAAACCGGGCGGCUAGAGUGCGGAAGAGGAUCGUGGAAUUCCAUGUGUAGCGGUGAAAUGCGUAGAUAUAUGGAGGAACACCAGUGGCGAAGGCGACGGUCUGGGCCGCAACUGACGCUCAUUCCCGAAAGCGUGGGGAGCAAAUAGGAUUAGAUACCCUAGUAGUCCACGCCGUAAACGAUGGUCACUAAGUGUCGGGGGUCAAACCCCGGUGCUGCAGUCAACGCAAUAAGUGACCCGCCUGAGUAGUACGUUCGCAAGAAUGAAACUC